UGGACUGUAUUUGUACUAAGUAUUGCAUUGUUUAUAAGGUUUAUUGUGGUGUUUACUUAUUGUACCUGUAUUUAUAUUGAUUAUUGAAUAUUACUUAUUGUUGUUUGAUUUCCUAUUUUUUUUUUUAUCUCCACUUUUGCUAUUAAUAAUGGGACACCGAUAGGCGAUAACGCCAUUUAUGAAGACCCUGGUAUCCCUACCGGUACUGGCUACUGAUUAGGUACUGAUCGAAGCUCUACUAUUGACCACGUAGAACGUAGUGAUUAUAUUCUCUUUGCACGGAUUGAAUACGGAAUCCACGACUCCCACUGAAUUGAGAUGUGUUAAUUGUGGCACCGCUGUACCUAAAUAAAAGGAGUAGGCAUAAUAGCCUUGAAUUUGUAGAGGUUAUGUAAGUAAUACAACACAGGAUUGCACCCCAAGUGCUGCAUGGAUCUGAUGAAAUCUGCCACCCCUGUUGGCAAAAAGUGAUGGAUUGAGAGCAUAUGCUCUUGAACCACCUCAACAAGGAUCACCAAUUGUUUACCGAACUGGAAAAGAACACCUGAUACCCAAGGCUAUUAUUUUUUUCUAGAUUAAUUCACUGGAAAUAUUAUUAUUAGAAUAAGAUAAGCCUUUAUUAACUGAAUUAAAUUACAUUAAUGCUAUGUACAUAAUAUUAUAUUUCAAACAAAUAAAUAAUAUUUUAGUUUUUGA